UCAAGACAAGCUCAGAUAGUAAGGAAUCUGCCUGCAGUGCAGGAGACCCAGGUUCAAUCCCUGGGUCAGGAA
rnacentral:tRNA from 1 species